CCUACGGGUGGCAGCAGUGGGGAAUAUUGCACAAUGGGGGAAACCCUGAUGCAGCGACGCCGCGUGAGUGAAGAAGUAUUUCGGUAGGUAAAGCUCUAUCAGCAGGGAAGAAACCCACCCUCCGGGGUGGCCGACGGUACCUGACUAAGAAGCCACGGCUAACUACGUGCCAGCAUCCGAGGUAAUACGGAGGGGGCAAGCGUUAUCCGGAUUUAUGUGGUGGAAAGGGAGCGUAGGUGGCAAGGCAAGUCAGAUGUGAAAGCCCGGGGCCCAACCCCGGGAGUGCAUUUGAAACUGUCUGGCUAGAGUGCAGGAGAGGUAAGUGGAAUUCCUAGUGUAGCGGUGAAAUGCAUAGAUAUUAGGAGGAACACCAGUGGCGAAGGCGGCUUACUGGCCUGUAACUGACACUGAGGCUCGAAAGCAUGGGGAGCAAACAGGAUUAGAUACCCCAGUAGUC
rnacentral:rRNA from 1 species